rnacentral:misc_RNA from 1 species
UCCGGCUUAUCACCGGCAGUUUCCUCAGAGUUCUCAGCAUUACCUGUUAGCAACAGAGGAUGAGGGUUGCGCUCGUUGCGGGACUUAACCCAACAUCUCACGACACGAGCUGACGACAGCCAUGCAGCACCUGUGCACCUUCCGGCCGAACCGACGGACCCUUUUGGGGGUCCUAUGAAGGGCAUGUCAAAUCCUGGUAAGGUUCUUCGCGUUGCCUCGAAUUAAACCACAUGUUCCACCGCUUGUGCGGGUCCCCGUCAAUUUCUUUGAGUUUUAAUCUUGCGACCGUACUCCCCAGGCGGGGUGCUUAACGCGUUAGCUUCGCCAGCGCAGGGGUCAAUACCCGCACCAGCUAGCACCCAUCGUUUACGGCAUGGACUAC